UUAUGACAGCUUGGUUGCAGCUGUACUAUAAUGCACAAGUGCUGUACUUUUGGGAGUGCUGUACAAGACGAUUUUAGCAAAUGCAGAAAACAAAACGUUUUUAAUCACUUG